rnacentral:rRNA from 1 species
GACGAACGCUGGCGGCGUGCUUAACACAUGCAAGUCGAACGAUGAAGCGGGUGCUUGCACUCGUGGAUUUGUGGCGAACGGGCGAGUAACACGUGAGUAACCUGUCCUUUUCUUUGGGAUAACGGCUGGAAACGGCUGCUAAUACUGGAUAUUCAGGCUGCAUCGCAUGGUGUGGUUUGGAAAGGUUUUUUCUGGGAUUGGGUGGGCUCGCGGCCUAUCAGCUUGUUGGUGGGGUGAUGGCUUACCAAGGCUUUGACGGGUAGCCGGCCUGAGAGGGUGGUCGGUCGCACUGGGACUGAGAUACGGCCCAGACUCCUACGGGAGGCAGCAGUGGGGAAUAUUGCACAAUGGACGAAAGUUUGAUGCAGCGACGCCGCGUGGAGGGUGUAGGCCUUCGGGUUGUGAACUCCUUUGUCUCGCGAAAAAGGCACAGUUUUGGCUGUGUUGAUGGUAGUGGGGGAAGAAGCGCCGGCUAACUACGUG